GACGAACGCUGGCGGCGUGCUUAACACAUGCAAGUCGAACGGAAAGGCCCUGCUUUUGUGGGGUGCUCGAGUGGCGAACGGGUGAGUAACACGUGAGUAACCUGCCCUUGACUUUGGGAUAACUUCAGGAAACUGGGGCUAAUACCGGAUAGGAGCUCCUGCUGCAUGGUGGGGGUUGGAAAGUUUCGGCGGUUGGGGAUGGACUCGCGGCUUAUGAGCUUGUUGGUGGGGGAGUGGCUUACCAAGGCUUUGACGGGUAGCCGGCCUGAGAGGGUGACCGGCGACAUUGGGACUGAGAUACGGCCCAGACUCCUACGGGAGGCAGCAGUGGGGAAUAUUGCACAAUGGGCGGAAGCCUGAUGCAGCAACGCCGCGUGCGGGAUGACGGCCUUCGGGUUGUAAACCGCUUUCGCCUGUGACGAAGCGUGAGUGACGGUAAUGGGUAAAGAAGCACCGGCUAACUACGUG
rnacentral:rRNA from 1 species